UACGUAGGGGGGCAAGCGUUUGUCCGGAUUUAUUGGGCGUAAAGAGCGUGUAGGCGGCUUUACAGGUCCGCUGUGAAAACUCGAGGCUCAACCUCGAGCUGUCGGUGGAAACCGUAAGGCUAGAGUCCGGAAGAGGAGAGUGGAAUUCCCGGUGUAGCGGUGAAAUGCGCAGAUAUCGGGAAGAACACCCGUGGCGAAGGCGGCUCUCUGGGACGGUACUGAC
rnacentral:rRNA from 1 species